rnacentral:misc_RNA from 1 species
AACGGUCUAUACCUGCGGUACCUGCGGAGGGAUCAUUACAUGGCGGAGGAGGUGGGCACACCUAGUAAAACCCUAGGUGUGUGUUGCCUUCCACGCUUUCUACCCUUGUCUAUUUGCACCUUUUGUCGUUCCCUCGGUGGGUCUUGAACCUGCCGGCGGCAACUUUCAAAAACCUUUUUGCAGUAGUAUCUAAUUCUUCUGAUCUAAAUAAUAAAUCGUUACAACUUUCAACAAUGGAUC